UCGAGCCGUACGAGGAGAAAACUUCUUGUACGGUUCUGGGGGUAUUUUUAAUUUACAUCAAUCCCAAUGAGCCGUUUAUAGAAUCAUUGCAAUUGAUGUUUGAUCCCGAA
rnacentral:ncRNA from 1 species